ensembl:lncRNA
GGCUAGGGGUGGACCAGCUGGCUCUCCCCAACCGCAAACCCCUCCUUCCUGCUUUGCCCUCCCUCCCUCGAGCCCCAGAAGCCCGCUGAAGCUCCUAGAGACUUAACACCUGACUUUUCCUCUCUUCUUCCGGAAGUUUUCACUGUCCCCUAGGCGAGUGGGUGGUUCCUGUUGGGAAAAGGCUCUGGCACGGCAUGUUCAUGCCUCCUUGGGGUGCCCAGAGAGAUGGUGGAGAGGGCCGGAGCUUUACAGGCUUUUGCUUCCAAGAGACGUUUUCCCACCGCUACCCUGAGGCUUGAUCCCCAGCCUAGAGGUGUUAUUGUUUAAGAUGAAGAAAAAAUAAGUGGUAUACUAUGGAACAAGAGUGAAGAAGGCAAUGGCAACCCACUCCAGUACUCUUGCCUGGAAAAUCCCAUGGGUGGAGGAGCCUGGUAGGCUGCAGUCCAUGGGGUCUCGAAGAGUCCGACACGACUGAGCGACUUCACCUUCACUUUUCCCUUUCAUGCAUUGGAGAAGGAAAUGGCAAGAACACUGGAGUGGGUAUAUACUCACUACUAUAUAUAAAAUAGAUGAACAACAAGGACCUGCUAUAUAGCACAGAGAACUAUACUCAUCUUGUAAUAACCCAUAAUGGAAA